AUGAGCAUCCCGCGAGACUUCGGUGCCGCGACGGGCCUGUGCAUCAACCCCGACAAGUCUUCGAUCGCCCCCAUUUGGUGCGAAGAGAUCAACAUCCAGGAAGUCCUGCAGGGCUUCGGCAGAUCGACCGUGGCCUUCCCGUACCUGGGACUGCCAGUGACGCCGGGACACCUACGUCUCAUUCACUUGCCAUUCAUCGUCGACCGAAUCAAGGCACGGCUGGCAGGAUGGAAAGGCAGGCUGAUGCCGAUCACGGGCAGGCGGGUGCUCGUCAGGUGCAUGCUCAGCGCGAUGCCAGCUUUUUCGCUCACCGGCCGUUCUGUGGGCGCCAAAGAAACUUUUCAAGGAAGUGGACAAAUGCCAGAGGCGUUUCCUCUGUCGGAAGGACGAGGAGCUCAUAGGGAGCAGCUGCAACAUAAACUGGGCGACAGUGUGCUCGCCAACGGAGUACGGGGGUUUGGGUGUCCACGACCUCCAGCGUUUUAG
rnacentral:rRNA from 1 species